UCUCUAAUGGCCUCCGCAACAGUCACUCUUGUGUUAGCAAUACUGUCUCUAAGCUUGCCAUCUCAAAUCUCAGCUGAUACCUACUUGUACUCAUCACCUCCUCCUCCCAAGAAGCCCUAUUAUUAUCACUCUCCUCCACCACCUUCACCUCCUCCACCUAAGCCAUACUACUAUCAUUCACCACCACCACCUUCACCUCCUCCACCCAAGCCAUACUACUAUCACUCACCACCACCACCUUCACCUCCUCCACCUAAACCAUACUACUAUCACUCACCACCACCACCUUCACCUCCUCCACCUAAACCAUACUACUAUCACUCACCACCACCACCUUCACCUCCUCCACCUAAACCAUACUACUAUCACUCACCACCACCACCUUCACCUCCUCCACCUAAGUCAUAUUACUAUCACUCACCACCACCACCACCCAAAAAGAAGCCAUACUACUACCAUUCUCCCCCACCACCUUCACCACCUCCUCCUAAGCCAUACUACUAUCACUCUCCCCCACCGCCUUCACCUCCUCCACCUACGCCAUACUACUAUCAUUCUCCCCCACCACCCUCACCACCUCCACCUAAGCCAUACUACUACCAUUCACCACCACCCCCACCGAAGAAGAAGCCUUACUACUACCACUCUCCACCACCACCUUCACCUCCUCCUCCAAAGAAGCCAUACUACUACCACUCCCCACCUCCUCCCAAGAAGCCCUACAAAUAUUCAUCUCCCCCACCUCCAGUGCACCCUUACCCUCAUCCUCACCCCCAUCCCCAUCCACACCCCCACCCUCACCCUCCCUACGUUUACAAAUCUCCUCCCCCACCCCCUAAGAAGCCAUACAAGUACCCAUCCCCACCACCUCCAGUCCACGUUUACCCUCACCCUCACCCGCAUCCACACCCUCACCCUCAACCUCACCCCCAUCCACAACCCCACCCUCCCUACAUUUAUCAGUCUCCUCCACCAC
rnacentral:lncRNA from 1 species